CGAAUGCUGACAUAAGUAACGAUAAAGCGGGUGAAAAGCCCGCUCGCCGGAAGACCAAGGGUUCCUGUCCAACGUUAAUCGGGGCAGGGUGAGUCGACCCCUAAGGCGAGGCCGAAAGGCGUAGUCGAUGGGAAACAGGUUAAUAUUCCUGUACUUGGUGUUACUGCGAAGGGGGGACGGAGAAGGCUAUGUUGGCCGGGCGACGGUUGUCCCGGUUUAAGCGUGUAGGCUGGUU
rnacentral:rRNA from 1 species